rnacentral:rRNA from 1 species
UUCCAGACUCCUACGGGAGGCAGCAGUGGGGGAUAUUGCACAAUGGGGGGAACCCUGAUGCAGCGACGCCGCGUGGGUGAAGAAGCGCCUCGGCGCGUAAAGCCCUGUCAGCAGGGAAGAAAAUGACGGUACCUGAAGAAGAAGCCCCGGCUAACUACGUGCCAGCAGCCGCGGUAAUACGUAGGGGGCAAGCGUUAUCCGGAUUUACUGGGUGUAAAGGGAGCGUAGACGGUUAUGCAAGUCUGAAGUGAAAGCCCAAGGCUCAACCAUGGGACUGCUUUGGAAACUGUAAAACUGGAGUGCAGGAGAGGUAAGCGGAAUUCCUAGUGUAGCGGUGAAAUGCGUAGAUAUUAGGAGGAACACCAGUGGCGAAGGCGGCUUACUGGACUGUAACUGACGUUGAGGCUCGAAGGCGUGGGGAGCAAACAGGAUUAGAUACCCCGGUAC